rnacentral:rRNA from 1 species
CCAGAGAUGGAUUGGUGCCUUCGGGAACUCUGACACAGGUGCUGCAUGGCUGUCGUCAGCCCGUGUCGUGAGAUGUUGGGUUAAGUCCCGUAACGAGCGCAACCCUUGUCCUUAGUUACCAGCACGUUAUGGUGGGCACUCUAAGGAGACUGCCGGUGACAAACCGGAGGAAGGUGGGGAUGACGUCAAGUCAUCAUGGCCCUUACGGCCUGGGCUACACACGUGCUACAAUGGUCGGUACAAAGGGUUGCCAAGCCGCGAGGUGGAGCUAAUCCCAUAAAACCGAUCGUAGUCCGGAUCGCAGUCUGCAACUCGACUGCGUGAAGUCGGAAUCGCUAGUAAUCGUGAAUCAGAAUGUCACGGUGAAUACGUUCCCGGGCCUU